UACGUAGGGGGCAAGCGUUGUCCGGAUUCAUUGGCGUAAAGAGCGUGUAGGCGGCCAGGUAGGUCGGUUGUGAAACUGGAGGCUCAACCUUCAGAGGUCGACCGAAACCAUCUGGCUAGAGUCCGGGAGAGGAGAGUGGAAUUCCUGGUGUAGCGGUGAAAUGCGCAGAUAUCAGGAAGAACACCCGUGGCGAAAGCGGCUCUCUGGAACGGUACUGACGCUGAGACGCGAAAGCGUGGGGAGCGAACAGG
rnacentral:rRNA from 1 species